rnacentral:rRNA from 1 species
CCCUUAGAUGUUCUGGGCCGCACGCGCGCUACACUGACGAAUGCAACGAGCUUAUAACCUUGGCCGAAAGGUCUGGGUAAUCUCCAAAUUUCGUCGUGAUGGGGAUAGAUUAUUGCAAUUAUUAAUCUUCAACGAGGAAUGCCUAGUAAGCGCAAGUCAUCAGCUUGCGUUGAUUACGUCCCUGCCCUUUGUACACACCGCCCGUCGCUACUACCGAUUGAAUGAUUUAGUGAGGACUUCGGACUGGGACCGAUGCGGCUUUCGGGCUGCGUCGGUAUUCUGGAAAGAUGUCCAAACUGUAUCAUUUAGAGGAAGUAAAANUCGUAGCA